rnacentral:rRNA from 1 species
GAUGAACGCUGGCGGCGUGCCUAAUACAUGCAAGUCGAGCGAACAGACGAGGAGCUUGCUCCUCUGACGUUAGCGGCGGACGGGUGAGUAACACGUGGAUAACCUACCUAUAAGACUGGGAUAACUUCGGGAAACCGGAGCUAAUACCGGAUAAUAUAAUGAACCGCAUGGUUCAAUAGUGAAAGACGGUUUUGCUGUCACUUAUAGAUGGAUCCGCGCCGCAUUAGCUAGUUGGUAAGGUAACGGCUUACCAAGGCAACGAUGCGUAGCCGACCUGAGAGGGUGAUCGGCCACACCGGAACUGAGACACGGUCCAGACUCCUACGGGAGGCAGCAGUAGGGAAUCUUCCGCAAUGGGCGAAAGCUUGACGGAGCAACGCCGCGUGAGUGAUGAAGGUCUUCGGAUCGUAAAACUCUGUUAUUAGGGAAGAACAAAUGUGUAAGUAACUAUGCACGUCUUGACGGUACCUAAUCAGAAAGCCACGGCUAACUACGUG